AUGCUUGAGCAGAGGAUCAUAGCAAUGUCUGUUCUCCUGACCCUCUUCUAUGCUGAACUGACCGAAUCCUCCUCAAGCUGCUAUCAUGAGCAAGCCGAAAUAAAAAGAGUGGAUGAAAAUGCGACAGCAUCUGUGUCCUGUCCGGCACUUAAAGAGCUUGAAAACACAUCCAUCACCUUAUACAAGGGAGACACAAAGCUGCACUCAUCAAACCCGAGUGAAAUGGACAGUAAUGAAACAUUGCAGCGGUUUCAGGUGUACAUACAAAACUCCUCAGUCUCAUAUAAGAUUUUAAGGACUGAAGUCAAUGACACAGGACUCUACAAGUGCACAAUAGAUGCUCAAAUCAGGACAGCCGUUUCCCAGACUUUGUUGCUAAUUAAAGAUGCUCUGGAGCCCAUAGAAUCAACUGUGACUUGUCCAACUGAUGAUCAGACACUGCCACUUACUGUUGCCUGUGUGGUUAUCUUUGUAUAUAACCUGUUCUUCACCGUCUUUGGCUGUUACCUCGGAUAUAAAGUCAAGAACACAGAGCCAGCUGAGAAUCCCUACAUAAACGUGAGACCGCGAGGAUUCAGGCGACGCUGA
rnacentral:lncRNA from 1 species